rnacentral:piRNA from 1 species
UAAGCCUCACCAAAGAGCACUCGAUCCUGGUC